rnacentral:rRNA from 1 species
CCUACGGGUGGCAGCAGUGAGGAAUAUUGGUCAAUGGACGAGAGUCUGAACCAGCCAAGUCGCGUGAAGGAUGACUGCCCUAUGGGUUGUAAACUUCUUUUAUAUGGGAAUAAAAUGUUCCACGUGUGCCAUUUUGUAUGUACCAUAUGAAUAAGGAUCGGCUAACUCCGUGCCAGCAGCCGCGGUAAUACGGAGGAUCCGAGCGUUAUCCGGAUUUAUUGGGUUUAAGGGGUGCGUAGGUGGCGUGUUAAGUCAGCGGUGAAAGUUUGCGGCUCAACCGUAGAAUUGCCGUUGAAACUGGGAGUCUUGAGUACAGUAGAGGUGGGCGGAAUGCGUGGGGGAGCGGUGAAAUGCUUAGAUAUCACGAAGAACUACGAUUGGGAAGGCAGC